UCUGCCUCCCAAAGUGCUGGGAUUACAGGCGUGAGCCACCAUGCCGGGCCCCCAGCGUUAGUUUUAUGAAGAAUUGGACUGUGUAUAACAGAAACAAACACAUACAUACUGCAAACUUGGAGUCUUAAUGGUAUUUAAUCAAAAGCAAUUCAAUUCACUGUUUAAAAACCUUUGCCACAUUACCUAUUCACUUUAUAAAAAUCACGUUCAUCAUCAUGGAGAUGAAAAAGGUUCCUUGUUAAUGGCGAGUAAGUGGGUGGCUGCAGAAGACUGUGCAAAGAUACAGACAUAAAGGAAGAGAGAAAUUGGGCAGAGAGGGCGUGGGGUAUGGGAAGUAGAAGAAAGGACACAUGUCAUUAAGAACAAGUCGUUCUGUGAAACAGGAAUUUGAACUAAUAAAUCCUGUUGUCUAAUGGAAUGCACCCAAGAAGAAAAUAAACAGCUCAGUUGGUUGAAGACAGAUUUCUAAGAAGUUUUUCUUAUUGAGUACCCAAGGGAAAGCCAGUAUUUCAGAAGCUCUGGUGUCCAUGGUCAAAUGGUAUUUUCAAACAACUGUGGAGAGAAGUCAAGAUGCAUACACUUGGAGUCAUUAAAUAAUGAGGAAGACAAGGUGGUGAGAAAUCAUUGCUAAACUGCAGUUCACCCCGUGCCUGCCAACAGAUACAGAGCAGACAAGCUUGUGUUCCUGAGGUUACGCUGCUCUCAUUUAGAGCACCACUAAGCCAAAUGAAGAAUAUUACUUAUAUAUAGCAGACUCUUCCUCAGGGAGGAACCCGAGGAAAGUCACAAAAAAAGUAGAGGAAGCCGAAAGAGUGUUUUUAGUCUCACACAUCCUGUACUUUUUUUUCAGCUGCUAUUUUGAAAGAUAAACAUUACAUUUGUGGUUGAGUCGUCUUCCAGGUUAGAGAAAACAAAACAAUAUGGUUGUGAAAAGAAGAGGCCUGUGAUGGAGCUAAUGACCUUGGAAAGGCAGACUGCUUUCCUGGUUUUCAAAACAAAACAAACCAAAACAAACCAUUUUUAAAAAGUGGUUGAACAACGGUAAAGCCCUUGCAUCUAUCUCCAGUGCCCCUAGGCCCCCAGCUGGUUCUAGAGUGACCUAGACACAAAGAUGCUCUGUCCAGUGUGAGCAGAGGAAUGGCAUGCCGUCCCUGUAUAGCCAAUUCCACCUUCAGCUUUCAUUCGAUUGGCAUUUUGUAGGCAGGAAGUUGUGUUCAACUCAGGUUUUAUUGAAACUAGGGCAUUUCUAUAUUCUUCUUAAUUUGAAAAUGAAAGCAAAUUUUAUUUAGGAAGCUAGUGGAGUUUUCUUGUGGGUUUGAAGGCAAUCUCACUUUACCAAUGGGUCAAUUCCAUAGAUCCUUUUGUUUCCUAUUAGAUACCAAAAGUGGCUCCUACUUACUAUAUCCAAAACCCUGCUGUCAUCACACAGGGCACCGCUAAAGCCUAUAGUCAGCUGAGAGAUCAGAGAAUUUGAGAGGAAGAAACCAACCUAUAUGGCAUUAGUAGAGCAGUGGGUGGAAAUGCCUGCUGGUCUAGAUAUUAUUGGGCCUCCUUGAGAAAUUACUCAAUAUGACUGAUAACAUGUGUUGAAAGGUGUUGCAGAGUGGCUUCCUUUAUACAGUCUACAGUGGAAUUGACUUGUAAUGGUGCCAUUAGGUCGGAAUUGGAAGACAGAUAGGGAUCCAGAAGACCCCAGAUGCAUGAUUCUUAAACCUCCCAAUAAUAAAAUAUAUUGUUGAUUGGCAUUGUGUUAGGAUUCCUAUGGCUGCUCUAACAAAUUAUCACAAAUUUUGUGGCUUAAAACAACUGAAAUUUAUUCUCUCACAGUUCUGGAGGCAAGAAGUCCUAAAUCAGUGUCACCAGGCAGAAAUCAAGGUACUGGCAGAGCUGUCCUCCCUCCAGAUGCUCCAGUUCUUCAAAGAAAUGCUUCAGGAUCUUGAUCCUACUUGUGUAAAAUUUCCAUUGUCUGCAGCUGAUCUGGCCUCAACAGUUUUGGCAUCCAUCAAAUGGAAAGUUUGCUCAACUUUAAUUUUUCAGUCAUAACUGUGUAAGCUGAACCAAGUGAGAUGCCUAUUGUGUUGGCUUCUGUUUGUGCUGUUACACCAGUCCUCUUCAUUUGGGGCAUGGACAAGAUGAGUUUUUUCCUCACAGAUUGAUGUGGAUGGUCUGCCAUGGUGAGCUUUAUCUUAAAUAUCACCUCGUCCUUUCUUAAAAUGAGUUAUCCAUUUGUAAACUGCUGAUUUUGGGGGGUGCAUUGUCCCCAUAUAUUUUUCAUAAAGCAUCAAUAAUGUCACCAUUCUUCCACCCAAGCCUCACCAUCAAUUUGAUAUUUGCUCUUUCUUCAAUUUUAGCAGAAUUCAUGUUGCUCUGAUAGAGGCUCUUUUCAAACUGAUAUUUCAUCCUUCUUAGUGCCUCAAGGAGAUCCCGUUCAGACAUGCUAUAACAAAUUAGUAUGAGCUUCUUUUAGUGCAAAAAAAAUUUGAAAUCUACACAUAGUUUUCUCAUUAAAUGCAUUUUCCAUGAACUUUUAGAAGUCAGUCCCCUUGUGGCCGGAUGUGGUGGCUCACACCUGUAAUCCCAGCACUUUGCGAGGCUGAGGCGGGUGGAUCACCUGAGGUCAGGAGUUCGAUACAAGCCUGGCCAACAUGGUGAAACCCCGUCUCUACUAAAAAUGCAAAAAUUAGCCUGGCAAGGUUGCAGGUGCCUAUAACCCCAGCUACUCAGGAGGCUGAGGCAGGAGAAUCACUUGAACCCAGUGGGUGGAAGUUGCAGUGAGCUGAGAUCACACCACUUCACUCCAGCCUGGGCAACAGAGUGAGACUUCAUCUCAAAAAAAUAUAUAAUAAUAAUUAAAAAUAAAAAAAGAAGUCAGUUCCCUUGUAUAUAUUUGGCAUGUAAAACUCAGGCCUUAGUUUCACAUAUGUACUAAGGAAAAAUGGUUUUAGGACUUUGUAAUUUUGUCCUAGAGCUAUAGGUAGAUAUAAAGUGCUAUCAUUUAUUUUUCAGGCUUAUCUUCUUUCUCUCCCCUCACUAUGGGUGUCCUCCCAAGCGUCAGUGCUAGACUCUCUAACUAACCAUCUGCUCUAUGGAAGUUGCUUAUGAAGGGACACACUAUUCUCUCCAGGUGAUCACUGUCAAAUCUGCAUUUCCACAGCAGCUUUUCUCUGCGCUCCAGCCAAUGAGUCAGCUAGGCAGAAGUUUCUAUACUCCUUAUGGUUCUGAAAUUUCUGGAAUAUAAGUGACUCAAAACACCCUUCAUUAAUCUGACGAGAUGAAUUAUGAGCACCUUUCAAGUUAUCUUUUAAAUACAAAGUUCCUUCAACAUUGGAUAUGUAAUUUGGAAUACAUUGUACUAUGGAAUGGAAUUUGCUCACUUGCUUUCCCCUCAACCCAUCAUCUGGUUAACUCCUAGCUCCACUUAAAGUUUAAGAAAAGACUUUCCUAAUCCUCUAACACAAAUUCCGUCUGUUUAUAUCUAUUGAACACCUACUAUGUGCCAGGAACACAUAGUAAUACAAAAGACAUGAAGGCUAUGAUCUAGUAAGAGUGUAAUUGGUACAACCUCUGAAGACGGACCUUUCAUCUAGGGAGGAGCUGAAAGCCCUUUGAAGAUGUUAAUAAGAAAGAGACCUGCUAAUUAAGAUUGCUUAAAAAUAAAAACUCAUCUUCCAGUAUGUUUACAUGAUUGCUGGGAAGGUUCUGACUCAAAGAGAUUUGCUAUCACAGGAUCUCAUUCAGGACACCACAUUACCAUUAGUCACAGUGUCUCCUCUGGCUCCUCUUGGCUGUCAGUUUCUCAGAGCGUCCUUGUUUUUAAUGGCCUUGAAUAUUUUGAAGAGUAUGGGUCAGGUGUUUUGUAGAAAGCCCUUCACUUGGGAUUUAUCUGAUGGAGUUAGAGUUUGGAGGAAAACCCCAAAGGUAAAGUGCCAUUUCCAUCACAUCCUGUCAAGAGUGCUGGUGUUAGUCAGUCAGGGCUGCCAUGGCAAUAUACCACAGACUGUGUGUUUUAAACAACAGAAAUUUGUUAUGAAGCCUGGAAAUAUAAAAUCCGCAGGGUCGGUUUAUUCUGAGGCCUCUCUCCUUGUCGUGCAGAUGGCUGCCUUCUCAUUGUGUUCUCACAUGGCUCUUUCUCCAUGCACCCACCUUCUUAGGGCUUCUCUCCCUGUGUCCUAAUCUCCUCUUCAAAGAAACUACCAUCAGAGUGAACAGGCAACCUACAAAAUGGGAGAAAA